GUGCCAGCCGCCGCGGUAAUACGGAAGGUCCAGGCGUUAUCCGGAUUUAUUGGGUUUAAAGGGAGCGCAGGCUGAUGAUUAAGCGUGACGUGAAAUGUAGCCGCUCAACGGCUGAACUGCGUCGCGAACUGGUUAUCUUGAGUGAGUUCGAUGUUGGCGGAAUUCGUGGUGUAGCGGUGAAAUGCUUAGAUAUCACGAAGAACUCCGAUUGCGAAGGCAGCCAACAAGGCCUUUACUGACGCUAAAGCUCGAAGGUGCGGGUAUCGAACAGGAUUAGAUACCCUGGUAGUCCGCACGGUAAACGAUGGAUGCCCGCUGUUUGCGAUAUACUGUGAGCGGCCAAGAGAAAUCGUUAAGCAUCCCACCUGGGGAGUACGCCGGCAACGGUGAAACUCAAAGGAAUUGACGGGGGCCCGCACAAGCGGAGGAACAUGUGGUUUAAUUCGAUGAUACGCGAGGAACCUUACCCGGGCUUGAACUGCCAGCGGACGAUUCAGAGAUGAUGAGGUCCUUCGGGACGCUGGUGGAGGUGCUGCAUGGUUGUCGUCAGCUCGUGCCGUGAGGUGUCGGCUUAAGUGCCAUAACGAGCGCAACCCUUUUCUUUAGUUGCCAUCAGGUAAUGCUGGGCACUCUGGAGAUACUGCCACCGUAAGGUGUGAGGAAGGUGGGGAUGACGUCAAAUCAGCACGGCCCUUACGUCCGGGGCUACACACGUGUUACAAUGGGGGGUACAGAGAGUCGGAUAUACGCAAGUAUGUUCUAAUCCUAAAAGCCUUCCUCAGUUCGGAUUGGGGUCUGCAACCCGACCCCAUGAAGCUGGAUUCGCUAGUAAUCGCGCAUCAGCCAUGGCGCGGUGAAUACGUUCCCGGGCCUUGUACACACCGCCCGU
rnacentral:rRNA from 1 species